GCUUUCGUAGUGCAGUGGACAGCACGCUGGUCUCGUAUUCCAGAGGUCCGUGGUUCGAUUCCCUGUGAAGGCG